rnacentral:rRNA from 1 species
UACGUAGGGAGCAAGCGUUGUCCGGAAUCAUUGGGCGUAAAGCGCGCGUAGGUGGCUUCGUAGUCCGUUGUGAAAGUCAAAGGCUCAACCUUUGAAAGCCGAUGGAUACUGCGGAGCUAGAGUACGGAAGAGGCGAGUGGAAUUCCUGGUGUAGCGGUGGAAUGCGCAGAUAUCAAGGAGGAACACCAAUAGCGAAGGCAGCUCGCUGGGACGUUACUGACCACUGAGGCGCGAAAGCGUGGGGAGCAAACAGG